rnacentral:rRNA from 1 species
AUUGAACGCUGGCGGCAUGCCUUACACAUGCAAGUCGAACGGCAGCACGGGAGCAAUCCUGGUGGCGGGUGGCGAACGGGUGAGUAAUAUAUCGGAACGUGCCCAGUAGUGGGGGAUAACUGCUCGAAAGAGCAGCUAAUACCGCCUACGACCCGAGGGUGAAAGGGGGGGAUCGCAAGACCUCUCGCUAUUGGAGCGGCCGAUAUCAGAUUAGCUAGUUGGUGGGGUAAAGGCCUACCAAGGCAACGAUCUGUAGUUGGUCUGGGAUGACGACCAGCCACACUGGGACUGAGACACGGCCCAGUCUCCUACGGGAGGCAGCAGUAGGGAAUUUUGGACAAUGGGCGCAAGCCUGAUCCAGCAAUGCCGCGUGCAGGAAGAAGGCCUUCGGGUUGUAAACUGCUUUUGUCAGGGAAGAAAUCCUCUAGGUUAAUACCCUUGGGGGGAUGACGGUACCUGAAGAAUAAGCACCGGCUAACUACGUGCCAGCCGCCGCCGUAAGAC